AUCCAGCUGAUGAGUCCUGAAAUAGGACGAAACGCGCGUCAAACUAGAU
rnacentral:hammerhead_ribozyme from 1 species